rnacentral:rRNA from 1 species
AACGAACGCUGGCGGCGCGCCUAAUACAUGCAAGUCGAGCGAGAAGACGUAGCAAUACGUUUGUAAAGCGGCGAACGGGUGAGGAAUACAUGGGUAACCUACCCUCGAGUGGGGAAGUAACUAGCCGAAAGGUUAGCUAAUACCGCGUACGCUCCUUGGACUUCGGUUCAGGGAGGAAAGCGAUACCGUGGGUAUCGCGCUCUUGGAUGGGUUCAUGUCCUAUCAGCUUGUUGGUGAGGAACGGCUCACCAAGGCUUCGACGGGUAGCUGGUCUGAGAGGACGAUCAGCCACACUGGCACUGCGACACGGGCCAGACUCCUACGGGAGGCAGCAGUAAGGAAUAUUGCGCAAUGGGCGAAAGCCUGACGCAGCGACGCCGCGUGGGGGAGUG